CACGGAAUGUGGAUCUCACUUUAUCCAUCAAAGCGGCAGGAUGAUUUCAUCCGUGGCAAGAUGGUAUAGCUCUUUAUUUCCUCCUCAGACGGCUCUAAUUCUAGCAGAAACGCUCAGAUGUGAAAAUCUGUCAGGACAGCAACAGGAGAAUACAGACUUUACAACCUUCCCAAAGAAUUCUGCUGACUUUCGCCAGACUCUGGGUACUUCCUACUUCUCCAUGUGACUAUCAUGAACAAAAAAAAAAA